UGCCCCUCACUUGCCAAUACGUCUAGAUCAGCCAGGGCGUCGGCAUGUGUAGCGUAUUAUGUUGGGCUCUCUCGAGAUAAGGAUACGAUGUCCCUUUAUCGGUUGGUUUCCUGUGUGUGCGGCCCGUUCGUUUUUUUUGUUACUUUCGCAUCGUUCGGUGCAUUCUGGGGGCUGUGUUGGCCUUUGGUGGCUUGCUUGGCCUUUUGGCUUUGCUUGUUGCUACUUGUCGGGCUGCUUUCGGGAAUGUCAACCGUGGAGGUGCAUGAGUGGUGUUUGGUUUGUUACGUGUGGAUGGCUGUUUGCUUGUGCAACAACGUUCACGCUGCAUACCUCUUCAGUUUUGCGGCAAGGCUUGGUUUGGCUUGUGCAUAUUGUGGGUUUCCUGUGUUGCAUACCUAGUUGAUGGAAAAGUGUGGGUUUUACGAUUUUCAUUUUCGUUUUGCGUCGUUCUUUUGGCGUGGGAUGAACAAUGAAGCGAUCUUUAUGAUCCAUCGUGCUGUUGCGUUUGCAACAAUGAUGUGGCCUAUGAAGCAUCGUUUGGUCUCUUGUAUACGGAAGCUCAUUUGGGCUUGGGUCUUUAUAAGAUCUUCGUUACGCCCUUGUUAAGCGUUCUCGCUUCUCCUAAACGAUUG
rnacentral:misc_RNA from 1 species